UUCCUGCAAUAUAUAUAUAUAUAUAUAAAUAUAUAUAUUCUUUGUUCAUAUUCUGAUUUAUUCAAUCAAAAUGGUGGGAAAAAAAAAAAUAAUAAAGUUACCCUGCAGAGAAGAUUCCCUAGCUUUCCCUUUUAGCUUCAAUGAUGAUAGUUCCUCCUGUUGGCCUUUUGGUUUUGCCUCCACAUCUUCUCCUAAAUUUCUGUGAAAAAAGAACUGUUGCUCUUAUAUAUGGAAUACAAAACAACGAAGUAGGUCAUAGAAUCGGGCCGUAACUUCGUCUCCAAGUGUAUCAUGUACAACAGAGCUAGCUAGCUAGAAUUUAUGUUUCCCUUGAUUUCUUUUUUUUUUUUUGCUUGUUUUGUUUUUGUUUUUUGACUAGUAAUCCUGAGAUAUUAAAGGGUUGGAAUGUUUUCUAGGAUGAUCUCGAACAAAACACCAAACCCACUUAAUUACCACCUCAGGCGCUACAGCUAGUCAAGAGUCAAGAGACUGAUCUGCAGCGCUUCCGGCCUGUAUCUAGUCAGCAACAUCGGAAUAUCAUUAAAGACACAGAAAGUACUGACAAGAAAUUCUAAGCUAACCUUGCUGCUGCAUUGUUGACUGGAUUCCACAUUAUUAUAAGUUCUCUUGAAUAAUACAUGUCCUUCUUGACAAGAAUUUCUAGCUAGCUAGCUGCUUCUCUUACUCAUGUAUGUAAUAGAUCUCAAGUAGAUCCCAUGUUCAUGUUAUUAUCAUGGCCAUUAUGAAAAUAUAUAACAGGAUUCACAAUGGUAAUUUCUGGAUUA